CUAGGUUGUUGUCCAAUGCACUUACUUUAUCUCCAAAUAAGAAAUUAAUUUAAAAUGAGACAUUUUCUGCAAAAGUUUCAACUUUAAUAAAGAUAAGAAUAUUCUACCAACAUCACAUCAACACUUUUACACUUACCAAAGUUUUCUUUUUUUCUUCCCAAAGCAAUUUUACUUUCCUGUAAAUCCUCAAGCCACAUAAGACUCUAAUAUUUCAUCUUCCUUUUUUUUUUUCCAAUCUACUUCUCUACCUUUAGUACGCCACUCCUUUGAUCGAAACCCACUGCCAUCGAUCGAGUCAAAGGCCUAAAAGCUUCCUUUACUCGUCACCUAGCCUUCCAUGUAAUGCUAUUUUAGAUUUACUAUGAAAACGUCUUCAACCUCUCCUGGUAUGACACCUACUAAGGUACUUGCUACGACACUUGCUGCAGCACCUGCUACCAAUAUUGGUGCGGCCCCUCUCCUGGUUAUAUGUCCUCUGAGUAUUUUUAUACUAAGGCUUUAGUUCCUCUUCUACACGAAAGGUCUUUGCACCGUCAAGCUUCCCAAUGUCCAAAAUCAACCCUUUCUACAUAGCAGCCAAAUAUAGUUCUCUUCACGGAACCUGUAUUGAACCUGAGCACCUGAGUUAAGUUGUGCCAAUCUGCUAUUUAUUGUGUGUUCUGCAAGUUGUGCAUUUGUUAUUUUUCGAAGAUUGGCUUUAAAACUUGACUGGCCACUUUUCUGUACCUUCCCAGUGUAAGGAAGAUUUUAUCAAAAUUUUUCCUUGACCAGGUGCUACAAUAUUUACAUGGAGAAUAUAAGCACUUCCUUAUUAGGUGCUAGUACCACCUUUCUCCUUUAGAAAUAUUGGGCAGUUGUCUAUCCAGCCUUAUUCCAGAGCCACUAAUUCACUUUAAGUUUCAUCCAAGGAUUUGCUGCAUAUUGUAGUCAUAUAUUUUGAGGUAAUAAGUUUAGCACACAUGUAAAUACUUGGAUAUUUGUUGAAUAAUAAGUUGUGUUUCAGCUUUUAUUUAUGAAUGAUAGUGGCCAUAAGGCUUACUUGUUACCUUC